GAACGCAUAUUGCGCCCAAUGGUAUUCCAUUGGGCAUACCUGUUUGAGUGUCAGAAUCCUUCCAAUUAUCAAACUUUUAUAUAUCUAUAUAUGUAAAGAUGUUUGGACUUUUAUUGAGAAGAGUAGUAUUAUUAUAAUAUUACUUUCUUAAAAACCAGAAAUAUUUUGUUUUGGUUUUCUUCCAACUCAUUUUGUAUUUAAUAUAACAAAUGAGUGUGAAUGUUAACAAACAACAAUAAUAAUAAUACCUUUGGAUGACCUCAAAUCAGGUAGGGAUACCCGCUGAACUUAAG
rnacentral:misc_RNA from 1 species